GUACUGAGUAGAGGUUAAAAACUGAAAAAAAGUAGAAUGAUUCUCUUUUAGUCCCAAACCUGAAAGACAGGAACCUUCUGUUCCUGUCAACACUGAACAGCUUCACAUCAGGUGGUAUAACACUAGAUUAGCUACACUCAGGGCUGUAACCACUGACUCUCCAGGGCUUGUGAUGUCUUCUCCUCACUGACCUCUACUACUUGCCAUUACUGCUCCUAAACCCCUCAUGUCCAAAAAUAGCCAACAAAUUAAUCUUUUGCCAAUCAGGACAAGGGUUUAAUAAGUAAAAAGAAAUUUUAUUAUCUCUUCUGUAAAUACACAAGAUUAGUGCAAGCUCUCAUAAAUUUGUUUACUGUAAAGAAUGAGAUUAGUUUCUUAUUAUUGAUAGACCUGAUCCAUGAUAACUAUCCCAUAGUCCUGGACAAAGGUAAUUUGAGCUCAGAUAUCUGAACCCUGCCUGCUUGUGCUUGGAACAUAGAAGCCAGUUUGGAAACCUUGUCCAUCUAAUGGCACUUG
rnacentral:lncRNA from 1 species